rnacentral:rRNA from 1 species
AGUGAACGCUGGCGGUAGGCCUAACACAUGCAAGUCGAACGGCAGCACAGUAAGAGCUUGCUCUUACGGGUGGCGAGUGGCGGACGGGUGAGGAAUACAUCGGAAUCUACUUUUUCGUGGGGGUUAACUUAGGGAACCUUCCCUUUUACCCCUUCCGCCCUCCGGUUGAAACAAGGGGAUCUUCGGACUUUCCCCGAUUGAUUGACCCGAUGUCGGAUUAGCUAGUUGGCGGGGUAAAGGCCCACCAAGGCGACGAUCCGUAGCUGGUCUGAGAGGAUGAUCAGCCACACUGGAACUGAGACACGGUCCAGACUCCUACGGGAGGCAGCAGUGGGGAAUAUUGGACAAUGGGCGCAAGCCUGAUCCAGCCAUACCGCGUGGGUGAAGAAGGCCUUCGGGUUGUAAAGCCCUUUUGUUGGGAAAGAAAAGCAGCAGGUUAAUACCCCGCUGUUCUGACGGUACCCAAAGAAUAAGCACCGGCUAACUUCGUG